CCUCCAUCAGAGGUCUUCAGCUGGAAGACUGCAUUGGAAAUCUCCCGUCUGGAUGAUACAUAAGAUCACUUCCAGAUCAAAUACCGCCUGACUGCUGCGGGCCUGUGGAAGGCAGCAAGGUGUGAUAAUUGGGAGCCCAGGCUCAGAGGACCCAGAGGUGCAUCCCAGCUCCACCCUCUCUUAGUUGUGAGAUCUUGGGGCCUGGCCCAGUGCUUGGCCAGUAGGAGCUCUCCAUAAAUACUGAAUGAAUGAAUGAAUGAAUGGGCCUGAUUCUAAUCUCGGCUCGGUCACUUGCCAUGGACAAAGAACGUCAGCUCUAAAAUGCAAUUCCUUCAGCAUAUGUGUAUUGCAUUUCUAGCAAAUGAAUAUUCAAUUUGAACUUGCUUGCCUCUCGCAAAUUAAAUGUUAAACCCUUUUCCUGGGACUGGGCUGAAGCCACACUGAACCGGAAACUCAUCAAAGCCAGGGCUUCCUUUUCUUUCACGAGUCUCCGUGACAGUGCUCAGAGCAGAUGUUGAUCUUUUGGCUGAGCCACAUGUGUGCAGAAGGUCCCAGGUAGAAGAUCAGCCCCAAAGGGUGAUGCACUGAGGCCAGAGGAGGCAGCCACAGGAUUUCGUUAGGAGACUUAGAACUCAUCUCUUUCAGACUCUGUUUAUUCACCAACAUCAGGACCAAGGAUGACUUCUGCCUCCUGUAAAAUCAAGCAUCCUGGCAUAUCUCCCCAAACAGAAGAUAAGAAUUAAUGGGGCUUCCUAGGUGGCGCAGUGGUUAAGAAUCUGCCUGCCAAUGCAGGGGACAAGGGAUGGAUUCCUGCUCCAGGAAGAUCUCACAUGCUGCGGAGCAAUUAAGCCCGCACGCCACAACUAUUGAGCCGGCACUUUAGAGCCCGUGAACCACAACUAUUGAGCCCAUGUGCUACAACUACUGAAGCCCACGUGCCUAGAGCCCAUGCUCUGCAACAAGAGAAGCCACGGCAACGAGGAGCCCGUGCACCACAACGAAGAGUAGCCCCCACUCACUGCAGCUAAAAGAAAGCCCGCACACAACAAAAAAAAGACCCAA